GAUGAAGAACGUAGCGAAAUGCGAUACGUAAUGUGAAUUGCAGAAUUCAGUGAAUCAUCGAGUCUUUGAACGCACAUUGCGCCCCCUGGUAUUCCGGGGGGCAUGCCUGUCCGAGCGUCAUUGCUGCCCUCAAGCACGGCUUGUGUGUUGGGCCUCCGUCCUCCUCCCGGGGGACGGGCCCGAAAGGCAGCGGCGGCACCACGUCCGGUCCUCGAGCGUAUGGGGCUUCGUCACCCGCUCUUGUAGGCCCGGCCGGCGCUUGCCGACACAUCAAUCUUUUUUCCAGGUUGACCUCGGAUCAGGUAGGGAUACCCGCUGAACUUAAGCAUAUCAAUAAGCGGAGGA
rnacentral:misc_RNA from 1 species